AUUGAACGCUGGCGGCGCGCUUAACACAUGCAAGUCGAGCGAAGCGGCGGACGGGUGAGUCACACGUGAGUAACCUGCCUUAGACAUUGGUAUAGCCUCGGGAAACCUGCAUUUAUACCAAAUGGUCUAUGAUGGACUCGAGUCCCAUUAGCUAGUUGGUGAGGUAACGGCGCACCAAGGGGACGAUGGGUAGCCGGCCUGAGAGGGUGAACGGACACAUUGGAGCUGAGAAACGGUCCAAACUCUACGGGAGGCGGCAGUGGGGGAUAUUGCAAAAUGGCGGGAACUCUGAUGGAGCGACGGCGGGUGAACUAAGAAGGCAUUCGAGUCGUAAAGUUGUUUUAUAUGGGAAGCGGUACAAUAAGAAAAAGCCCCGGCUAACUACGUGCCAGCAGCCGCGGUAAUUC
rnacentral:rRNA from 1 species